CUUUAUAAAGUAAGAAGUUUACAACAAAUAUUAUAACCAUUCAUAUCAAACAUAAUUUUGUGGUAGACACAGAAAAAUUUCAAAUCAAAUGCAAGUGUGGUCAUAACUAAGUUCUAAACGAGCUCAGUUAGUAGUUAUUUUAUAAGCCGUGAGAAUUAAAAAAAAUUAGAGCAGCAGAGUCUCUGAGUCUGCCUCUGAGUUGUUGGAAUCUUCGAUGGGAAGAAAGAAAAAGUAUAAUAAGGUUAAGAAGGAGCAGGUGUUGUUGUGCUGGAGCUUUCCCCACCAUGGCUGGUACAAGCUCAACGUGGAUGGGAGCUACCGCAGUGGAUCUGGGUGCAUUGCAGGAGGUGGUGUGAUCAGAAAUCAAGAAGGAGAAUGGUUAUCUGGGUUUGCUGCAAAUUUGGGAACAGGCAAAGUUAUUGAAGCAGAGCUUUGGGCCUUAUACAGAGGCUUGGAGCUUGCUUGGAAAUCUGGGUUGGCCCCAAUUGAGGUGGAAACUGACUCAACCACUGUUUUGAAGCUUAUGCAUAACCCAGUUGAGGUUAAUUGGAAACACCCUCAGUUUAACUUGAUCAAGAGCUGCCAGAAUCUCCUUAACCAAAGCUGGAGUUGUUCUCUGAAUCAUGCGUAUUGGCAGCAAAACAGUGUAGCUGAUUGUCUAGCUAAUUUUGGGCUGACUAUGGAGCUGGGGUGCCAUUAUUUUGAUGUUCCUCCACCUCUCUGUGAGCCUUUUUUAGUUCAGGAUAUCUCUAGGGUUGCUCAACCCAGGUUUCUUCCUCCCUCUGUCAUAGAAUACAGAAAAAUAAAGAAAUUGGAGGAAGUGGAUAUUCACAUGGAAGAUCUUGCAUCUGUUAUAUUCACAUGGAAAGUUGACAACUUCUCUAAGUUGGAUGCUGUCAAGCAUUACUCUGAUGUCUUCGUCAUCGGUGUUUUUGAAUGGCGAAUCCUUAUGUAUCCAAGGGGGAACAAUGUAGACUACUUGUCGGUUUAUCUGGAUGUUACAGGUUCUUCAACAUUGCCAUUAGGGUGGGCUAGAUAUGCGCGAUUCAGCUUGACCAUCGUUAAUCAACUUCAAAGCAGCGAGUCUUUAACAAAGGAUACUGAACAUGUGUUCAAUAAAAGUGACAGUAACUCGGGCUUCACAUCAUUAAUUCCUCUAAGUGAGUUUUGUGACCAUUGUAAAGGAUAUGUUGUGAAUGACACAUGUAUCAUUGAAGCCAAGGUUGCAGUCCAUAAGUCUGAAAUUAAGAUUUUAGAAGAACAAAAAACUCCAGCAAAUAAGGCACCAUGUUGUGAGAAGGUGUCUGCCUUCCAGGAGGAACCAAGUUCGGAGAAGGCUUGCACUGAUAGCCCUGCUAAUCCUCCCAUUGUCAUGGAACAUGUGUCGUCCACACCAGCUGGGGAGCUCAUGGUUUUCUGGGGUUUAAGUGUAAAACAGAAAAAGCUUUUGCUCCGCUGCCUGAUGAAGUUUGUUCCUGGCAUCCUUCUUUAAUAGAAUUCCAAAAGAAGAGCCGUCACAUGUCAACUGAGUGGGCAUUCACAGCUUCAGGCCAACUCCUGCAUUUUUUAAAGAGUACAGAAAAGGUCAAGGAUAUGACAGAUGGUGUCUCUGAGCACCUAAAACUUUUAUGGGAGGAGCUUGAGACCUUCAGGUUUGACUUGGCUUGGCUGGGGCCCCAUGUGUUGGCGUGACUUGUGGAUAUUGACUUACUUUCCUUACACACCAAGAAUUCCUAUUAUAAUUGUAAUUGAUUUACUUUAAUUCCUG